rnacentral:pre_miRNA from 10 species
UCAUCUCCAGCUUCAUUUUUGAGGGGUAACGCUGUACGUUAUAUGUUUUUUUUACACAAAUAUAUGACUAUUUUAUAUUCAUAAGCGUAUAGCUUUUCCCCUUAAAUGUGAAUGUAAUUAAAC